UGGCUCUCAAUCAACAUUAGUCGUUCGCAAUACUGCGGAUCCUGAGUGUCACGACCCAAUUCCCGAACCCGAUCGUGAUAGCGCCUCUCAUGAAGACAAGGACAAGCAGACCUAAAUAGAACGUUUCUUUUAAAUAGCUAAAUAGCAUAAAUAGUUAUAAAACAUGAUCGGAUAGCCAUAAUUUGUGAAAAUAAUGGUAACAAUAGUAGAAGCCAUCCCAACACAGCCCAAACCGGGGUGUCACAAGUCAUGAAUAGCUAAGAAAUCCCAGUGCAAGUAUACAAAACACUGAAUUUGAUACAAAAGUUCUACAAAACAUGAAAUGAUAAGAUAAGGGAGGCACGGGGGCUACAGACGUCAAUAGCUACCUUGUGGUCUCCAAAUCACUGCCUGGACUAGGAGGAUCAGCACUCAGGAGCGGACUCUGCGAUGCCUGAAUUUGCACACACGGUGUAGGGAGUAAUGUGAGUACUCCAACCCAGUGUGUAAUAAUUAUAAAUAAUGGCUGAAAGCAUGAAAAUACGUAAAGGCACAAAGAAAUUCUAUAUCAAAGUAGUAAAAUUACUUAAAGCAGUAAAACAAUGAAGAAUCAAAUGAAAACCCUUUAAAACAAGUAAGAAAAGGUAAUUUAAUAGGUAAAUAGCAAAUAGAAACCCGCCCCGCUGGCACAGUAUCAAUCUCUCAGAACAGUAUCAGCCCCUCGUGCUCACUCUCAGUACAAUAUCAGCUCCUCAGGCUCAAUCUCAUAUCAUAUGGGUACCCCACGCUCACUGUGAGUGUGUAGACUCUGGAGGGGCUCAUUACGGCCCAAGCGCUAUAUCAAGCCACCUCGUGGCAUCAUCUCUCGGCACUCGGCCACACAUCACUCGGCACUCAUCCUCACAUCUCUCAAGCAACCUCAUGGCAUAUAAAUGUAUCUCAGACCCUCGGCCUCAUGUCACUCGGUAUAUCUGCUGAUGCCCCGUUUUUCUAAAGCGAUAAAUAUAUCACUCGAAAUUGGGUAUACAAAAUUUGGGAGGACAACUCUAUUCAAUUUCGAGAAUUGGGUUUUUGGAGUUUUCAGAGUCACCACCUAAUGAUAAUAGUGCAUUAGGUAACCUUUUUAAGAAGAAUUUGAGAUGAAGAAACCAGAGUUUGGGUAAGGACUAGAAAUUAUCGCGAGGGAAAGGUGUUAGGCACCCCUCAAGAUCCACUAGUGUGGUUCCCGGUCAUACUACAUUUGUGACUUUAAACAAUAAGGAAACAAAUAAAAGUAUCAAGUAGAGGGGUUUUCACAUAACAUUGCAAAUAAGUUUAAGAGUUUGAAAAGAAAAAGAAUAGAAAGUUUAAAAAAAAGUAAUUUUGAACAACUUAAAGAAGAGUAACAGGUAAAAGGGAAAGGGGGUCCUAGGUUUGCAAAUAAUAUGGAUCACAUCAAUGUAAUACCCGGUGUACACUCCUGAAAGAGGGGUCGCUCAUGAUAUUCGAGACUACUAAUCCUAAAGGGAAAGGGAAUUUGGGGUCUUUUAAGAGUUCUCAAAGGAUAAAAUACUAAGGCGACAUUUAAAACACGUACUGCAGAUAUGGGUAAACAAGCUAACAAAUAGGGCUCAAGCAAGCCUCCUUAAAUCACAUUAGUUUAUCAUGUCUUUCACGUACUGGUUUGGUCUUGAUUAAAUUAAAGCAAUAUGCAGAAUGGUUCAACACAUAGUUUUAGAUAAAAAGUCCAUAUUCGGUCCGCUCGAAUGCAGUUUUCAAAGACUGACCCAAUUGAUUAACUAGCCAACCUUUUAUCUAUGUGUCGAAUAGAACUACUGAUUUCGAAAAGCAAACUGAUGAUAAAAGAAUUACCAGUUUUGUCAGAGUAAAAUAGGUUUUAGUAAAGGUGCAGAUUUGUUAUAGAAAAUUGUUUAUCAACUUUAUCAGAAGGAAAUAAGUUUCAGAAAAGAAUGCACUGAUUUGAAAAUGGUUUUACCAGAAUGAAACAAAUUUCAGAAGAAAUGCAGACUGAUUAGAAAAGGGUUUGCCAAUUUUAUCAGAAAGAAAUGAGUUUCAGAAAAAUAUGCAGGAGAUUACCAGUUUUACCAAAAUAGAUAGGACUUUCAGCAGUUUAUAUUGUUUUAAACGGAUGAAACAGUUUCAAAUUCAAGAUUUCCUACAUGCAUGCUUUCUAUAUGUUUACUGAUUUUAACACUUUUCAGGUUUUAAUUAAAUACUUAUGAACAUGAUAUCUAUAUGCAGAUUCAUUAUUAAACCUACAAAUGGUUUGCCUAAUGAUUGUUAUAUAUGCCGAAAUGCAAGAGCCUAUAGACAUGAUAUCUAUAUGUUUAACUGUAGAAAUCAAAAGUUAAACCCCUAUAGGCAUGCUUUCUACCCUUUGUCCAUAAAAUAAAUCCCCUCCCAUGUCUACUAAAUCCCCAUGACUGUAUUACAAAUUAUUACAAAUCGAUAAGCCAAACUGAAAAUAAAAAGUACAUAAGAAACUACAGCUACAUACGAGAGACCUAAUUAGAACUUAGUGUCUAACAAUAUGAGAAAAACAACUUCCGAGAUCAAGAUUUCCAAAGCCUUCUCUUAUAUAGGUUAUUUCAAAGUUCAAAGGAGUUUUAGGAACUCUGGGUAGUGCUUACAUCCCUAAUAUCGAUUAGAAUGAAUCAAAGUGCAGUGUUGAAGGGCCAGCCCUUGAUUGUCCAAGUUUAGAGGGAACUCAUGAGUCCCAAGGAAAGGCUCACAAGAGGGGUGUGGAACUUAAAUUCUAGGAACAAGUGCAAUUGCAAUAGAAAGGGUCAAGGAGUGCCAAUGCAGGCUGGUAGUCAUGCCCAGCCAAAUGAUAGGCUAGCACACCCCUGAACAGCCUGUCAGCAGAUCAAAUAGGAGUAAGGACCUAUUGAAGGUCUGACCAGGGCGGUAGAUAGUGAUUAAGACACUGUCAGACCAAAGUCUUAAACUCAACAUACAUAUAAAAGGGAAUGAGGAUGGGAAUUGAAAGAGUUUAUGACUCUAGAGGGUCCAGUUCAUGUCCAUGGACAAUAAUAUCAAGUAUUGCCAUGAUUUUGAACCAUAAUGCGACCACAUAGAGGGAUUAAGGUUUGGGUUUCAUGUAAGAACAGGAAAAGUGAAAGUAAAACUUGCAGAAAGUUACAACACGUAGAAAAUAAAUCAAAAAACGAAUAUAACAUAGAAUAAACACAUAGGGGAGAGGCAGGAAUUAAACAUAAAAACAUACCAGUUGAAGAAAACGCACGAGCAUAAUACAGACAAACAUAUAAAAGAAAAUAACAGCAGUCAAAAGACUUUCAGAAACCCUAAUUCGAAAUCGAAUGCUUUUUGAGAAGGAAAUUUGGGGAAAACACUCAAAACGUCAAAAGGAACAUAGACAUAGCAUAGAUCUAAAAAAAUAAUGGUGAACGACCCUCGAAUGUCUUAGGCUUUCAGAAAAACCCUAGAAUUGAGAAAGUAUAGAAAGAACAAGAUCAGAUCCUGAGUCGAAAUGGUCAGGAAUAAAGCUUCCAGCACUUGACCAUGCAGGAGCAUGGCCGAAAAACCAUAGACUUACGAAUUUGAGGCGGAUCUGAAAAGAGACAAUAAAGGUCAUGCCUCCAAACCUUGAGUAGCUUAGGCUCAGGGGUGAUAGAGCGUAAGCACAGGCCAUUCAUGGCUGGAGAUGCCAUGGAUUCUGGUGGGAAUGAGGUAAGAUAAGGCAGGAGGUUAUUAGGGUUUAGGAGCGGAUAAAGAGCGUUUCAGAGAUGAAGACUUUCAAGGGUGGCGCGUUUGUGCAAAUGAGGUAGGGUUAGGUGGGUUAUGG
rnacentral:lncRNA from 1 species